rnacentral:rRNA from 1 species
UACGUAGGGCGCAAGCGUUGUCCGGAAUUAUUGGGCGUAAAGAGCUCGUAGGCGGCUUGUCACGUCGGGUGUGAAAGCCCGGGGCUUAACCCCGGGUCUGCAUUCGAUACGGGCAGGCUAGAGUGUGGUAGGGGAGAUCGGAAUUCCUGGUGUAGCGGUGAAAUGCGCAGAUAUCAGGAGGAACACCGGUGGCGAAGGCGGGUCUCUGGGCAGUUACUGACGCUGAGGAGCGAAAGCGUGGGGAGCGAACAGG